rnacentral:piRNA from 1 species
CAGCCAAGUCAAACUUCAUGCAGCAGA